CCAAGCAGUGCGAAGCUCUUGGCUGACAGUGGUGCCUGCUAAUUUCCACUGCAAGGAUUUCGUCCACGAAUGUUAUCAUAGGUUACGCGCGACUCCAGAGGCAAUUUGGAAUCUCGGCACGAAAUCGUCUGAUGAAAAUCUGAGGUGCCCGACGCAUAACAUUUUGAACGCGCCACGGAGGAUCAAGGCAAAAAACGAGAGCAAAAAAUGGUGCACGCUGAAGGCGGAAAUGAAGCAUGAUCUGGCUUGCAUCUGGUCAUGAAGAAAUUGCUGACACGUUAGUUGCAGUCCACCUCCACCAACAGGGUGGAAAACAAAGAUCGCCAUUCCGAUUAGCUGCUAUCUCCCAGUUCAAGCACUUUUGUGUCUGGACACUGGUUCCUGUGGAUGGGGUGUUACAAGCUUUACUGUCUGAUAUAGAAGUGAUGAGCAUCCAUAAGGACACAUGCCAGAAAGGGAGUCUCUUUGGGAUGACAAACCCUCAUCACCUCAUGAGGAUACAAUGGUUGACGAAUGGUUCUCAAGCACAUCGAAACUUCCAACAAAUAAUUCAUGAAAAAGCCAGUCAGUGCUAGCACCAGGAAUUGAACGUG